AUUGAACGCUUGCGGCAGGCCUAACACAUGCAGGUCGAGCGAGCGGCGGACGUGUGAGUAAUGUAUGGGGACUGCCCGCUAGCGGGGGAUAACUACUGUCAACGGUAUCUAAUACCGCAUCCUAUCGGAUAACCCAUAUGGUAUUAGCUAUUAGGUGAGGUAAUGGCUCACCUAGGCGACGAUCCCUAGCUGGUCUGAGAGGAUGAUCAGCGACACGGGGACUGAGACACGGACCAGAGUCCUACGGAGGCAGCAGUGGGGAAUAGUGCACAAUGGUCGAAAGCCUGAUGCAGCCAUGCCGAGUGUAUGAAGAAGGCCCUAGGGUUGUAAAGUACGUUCAGUCGGGAGGCGUUACCGACAGAAGAAGCACCGGCUAACUCCGUGCCAGCAGCCGCGGUAAUUC
rnacentral:rRNA from 1 species